GAUGAACGCUAGCGGCAGGCUUAAUACAUGCAAGUCGUGGGGCAGCAGGGGUAGCAAUACCCGCUGGCGACCGGCAAACGGGUGCGGAACACGUACGCAACCUUCCUUUAACUGGGGAAUAGCCCCUGAAAGAGGGAUUAAUACUCCGUAACAUAUAGAUGUGGCAUCACAAUUAUAUUAUAGCUCCGGCGGUUAAAGAUGGGCGUGCGCCUGAUUAGGUAGUUGGCGGAGAAUAGCCCACCAAGCCUACGAUCAGUAACUGGUGUGAGAGCACGACCAGUCACACGGGCACU
rnacentral:rRNA from 1 species